ensembl:lncRNA
GCGGGUGUGUGGAGGGAACUGUCAGCUCGGAAAGACAAUUGGGCUUGAUGGAAGAGCUGGUCCCAGCUGGGUGUAGGAAUACCGGGGAGAUGGAGAGAUAGGAAGAGAUGGUGAGACUGGUAAGAGAAAAAAGAAAACAGAAAUGGGGGAGGGAUCAGGGACGCGAUCAGCAGGAAACAGCUGAGGCAGAAGUCAGACAUCACUGAGCGAUUGGCGCCGAGUCAGCAGGAGCCGUCUGGUCACCCCAGAGAGCCAGUGUGCCUCAGACUGUCAGCACAUUCUCAGUGCCUCCACUACAGGUCAUAAAGCAUCACAGACAGAGGAAGAGCAUGUGACACAGAGUCUUGUGUGAUUAAGAGUAUAUUCUGAGAAGUGCUUGGCGUAAAUCUGCGCAGUCCAAAAGAAAAGAUCAGGAAGGUUGUUUCACAGCAAGAGCAGAAGAGGAUGUGACAGGGUAAAGAAACAGCUGCCUCGGGUUUACAGAGUUUUGGUGUAUUACUACUGUAUAUGAGUGUAUGUGCAAUGCACUCAAAUGAACUCGCAAAUAAACACACGCAAAACACACAGGUAGCAGACUAGUGGGUCAGGCAAAAAUAAACACUCAUUCCUGUGAGAACAAGGAAUCAGAGCCAGACCAAAAUACUAGCAACCUUCUGGAAACCAAACGCACUGAGCCAAACUACGCUUGGCAUAGCCAACUAGCCUGGAUCCUGCCAAAAGGGUCUGGCUCAUGCCAGCACCAAAGCAGCUCUCACUUAGAGCGAGAAUUGAAUAUGGGGCAGGCAUGGGUGUCAGCAGAGCAGCAAAGAUUGCAUGUCGAAGACGCCCACUGUAGACUCGCCUCAGAGUGUGAAGAAAGCUCUAGAGAGGAGCAGAUGAGUCAGUAUAAGAGAGGUGUUAUUCAGCGCUCUGUUGCUCACUGGGCUUUUUCAUGUGGGAGCAGACGAGAAAUGCCUCUAAUAAAAGAAGAAAUCAGAGUGGAUUCCCCACCGCUGAAGAUAAACAAAGCAUAUAAUUACACAUAUUAUUAAGAAAAACAGUGGUGCUUGCUCAUGUAAAAUUCACUAGAAAGAAAGAAAGAAAGAAAGAAAGAAAAAGAAAGAAAGACGUCCAAUAUAAGUGGCAAACAGCUGAUAUGACAAAAAGGGUAUGGGAUGUUUUGCCUGUUAUCAUAGCCAGAUAAAAAUCAAAUCAUGCCCUUUUAAAAAUUCACCAUUAUGUGGUGGUUACUUUCUGAUAUUAAAAUUGUGGCCAGUAUUAUAAACUUAAAAAAAUAAAAAGAUAAUAAAAUAAAAGUAAAAUAAUAAAAUAAAACAAAAAAUAAAAAAGGUAAAAUAAAACAAAAAAAAUAAAAAACAAAAUAAAAGAUCAAAAAUAUUAAAUAAAAUAACUGCUAUGCUAGAGCUUUUUACUGAUCACCAGUGAAAUACCACUGUGCCCCAGUAAAAUAUUACUGAUAAAUCCUUGUGUAAGUGGGAUUGAUGUAUACAAACAUGAAAAUUUAUUUGAAAAUAUUUUAGCAAUCAUGUUGUGUAUUUUAUAUCAGCUGUUUAGACUCAAAAUUGGUGAUCCCAGAUAUGCAAAUAAAUCACUCUUUUAAUCUAAUCUGUCAAAUAGGUUUGCAAGAAAGUCUGAAAUUGUUUGCCGUUCAGUUUGAUUCAUUCAGACAGUUCACUCACACACACACACAAUUGUUUGCAGCAGUUUCUCACCAAAGUAGUAAUGGGAUAUUUUAUAAGACAUAAAACAAAAGGAGCACUGAAUGGGGUGGAUAUUUACCUACAAUUUAUAUCCAUUAUUAUUAUAUAGAAUAUUAAACAGUGUAUCAAAAUAUGGGCAUACUUUUUUGAAACUAGAAAUGAUACCUACAUACUGGCCAAAAUCAAAAAUGGUGUGAGAUUUUUUUUCCCGUUUUAUCAUAAUCCAGAUAAAAAUUGUAAUUUUGUUCUCUUGGAAAAGAACCAACACAUCUCUCUCAACAAAGAACUGUAUUACGAAUUCAUGUGUGUAGCACAAACAGCACUUGCUCAAUAAUGAAAAGACACUAUCAUUGUUUACAAAAACAGCAUUACUGCAAUCUCUGUAAAAAUGGAGCCACAAAGAGAAAAAGCAAAACAGUACAACAAUAAAGUUUUAUUGGUGUUAUUAAAAUGGAUUUCUUAAUAAAAGAACUGUAGCUAAACAGCGACGUGGGUUUGGAAACUACACCAGGGGAACCAGAUUUUAUUAUCAACAUUAAGCCAUGUUUGACCAAAUCGCUGCUCUCACAAACACAAAAAAAACCAUCAGCCAACACAUGAUCUUAUCCAAUGACAGAAGGUUGUCAGAGGUUUUUUUUAAGAUUAAAACAAAUGUAAUCAUCACUGAAUGCAUGGCAGAACCAUUAUUUAUGAUUCUAGGUUAAUAAAACAAGCAAAAACACAGCAAAUGCAUAAUGGUUUUCAAAACACAUAGUAUCUAAUAUCUAAUCAG